UAGUACAUUACACAUUCCAAAAUAUUCGAAUAUAGGGAUGUUUCUAUAAAUUAAACCUUGUCUACUCGUUUAAAGCAUAAAUUAUAAUUAUUGAAAACAUUCAUCUGAUCUGACGGCUAGGAAAAACGGGGGCAAAAACGUCAAAUAAAAAAAUUAAAUUCCUUCCUUACCACCAUCGGUCCAGCAUUCCAUCUACCCUCAUUUGCUUCCUCACCUAUCUCAUCCACACAUCUAUAACUUCCUCAUCUCCGCUGUAGUGGAUCUUUGUCAUGAAUAAAAUCUGAGUUCUCUGUCAUGGAUCUAGUCAGAGGAGUUUCAUCUAUUUUAGAUCUCUCUUCCCAGAAUGUAGCCGUCACCUAAAAUACCUUUCUCUUUGCACCGCCGCUUAUCAGAAGAUAAUGGAUGCUCAUCCUCCUCAUAUAUGGCGGUGGCCAUGGAGUGGAAGCGGUUGGGGAUGGCGGAGAGACUAAAGGCAGUGAAAACAAAGAGUUGAGGCUCCGAUGAUGUAGAUUCGACCUCCUCCUGCUCCAGAUUAAAUUAACGCGGCAAGAGGAGGCAGUUUGGUUGCGUGACAGAGUCGUCGGAAAUUCUGAAUCGUAAGCGGAAGGUGAGGAGGCCACCAUUAUUCAAUGGGGUGAGAAAAGAAAAGACAUGAUAUUUUUUCUGAGUAUGUUGUUUCAAUCAGAACGAAGCAACAACAUGAGAUUUUUCCAGCUCUCAAGCCAGCUAAGUGAAUGCAUGAAACCAGUUACUAAUUUGUAUAGCUGGUUAGUAACAAUCAUAACAUUUACUCGUGUAACCUCUUUGUAACCUCUUAAUCAGUUAUUAAGUCGGGUAAUUGAUUAUUAAUUUGUGUAAUUGAUUAUUAAUGAUUAUAACCUGUAAUAAAUAACCUAUUACAACAAUUAUAAUCUGUCACCAAAUCUUGUAACAAGUUAUUAAUUGUGCAUCCGAGAACUAAUAAUUAUAACUUGUUAGUCAUGUAACCUG
rnacentral:lncRNA from 1 species